rnacentral:rRNA from 1 species
AGAGUUUGAUCAUGGCUCAGAGCGAACGCUGGCGGCAGGCCUAACACAUGCAAGUCGAGCGCCCCUCCUUCAAGCGAGCUUGGAGGAUUGCGGAGCGGUCUCCUUGGGCGGGCGAAAGCUCGCUUGACGGACAUCGCUGUGAGAUCAAGCGAGCCUUUAGGGGCUCGCUUGAUGGAGGGGAGCGGCAGACGGGAGAGUAACACGUGGGAACGUACCCUUUGGUUCGGAACAACCCAGGGAAACUUGGGCUAAUACCGAAUAAGCCCUUACGGGGAAAGAUUUAUCGCCGAAGGAUCGGCCCGCGUCUGAUUAGCUAGUUGGUAAGGUAACGGCUCACCAAGGCGACGAUCAGUAGCUGGUCUGAGAGGAUGAUCAGCCUCACUGGGACUGAGACACGGCCCAGACUCCUACGGGAGGCAGCAGUGGGGAAUAUUGGACAAUGGGCGCAAGCCUGAUCCAGCCAUGCCGCGUGGGUGAUGAAGGCCCUAGGGUUGUAAAGCCCUUUCGGCGGGGAAGAUAAUGACGGUACCCGCAGAAGAAGCCCGGCUAAUUCCUGGCCAUGAGCCCCCGUA